CACCACCCGUCUGCCUCUGUCUGUGGAUCUGCCUGUUCUGGACCUUUCCCCUAUGGGAUCACAUGAGGCCUUCUGUGUCAGCUUCUCUCACUCAGCGUGAGGCCGUGAGGUUCGUCCACUGUGAAGCGCGUGUCAGGGCUGUGGUCUUUGUUAUGACCGAGUGCUAGUCCCUCGGGAUGGACCACAGUUGGUUUAUCCAUCACCUGUCAGCGGACCCUCCGGCCGUGUCUGCUUUCCGGCUCCUGGGAGUCAUGCUGCUGCGGACACCGAGGUGCGUGCCUCCGAGUCCCUCUGUCGCGCGGCCACAUCCUCCGACCGCGGGGCCACGGAGGCAGCGCUCAGCUACUAACAAAGUUCCAGUUUGCUCACAUCCCUUGAAAAAUGUUAAAGAGGAAACCCAAACCAGCGCUCCCUUCACCUCUUGCCCCACUGACCCUCCCUGUGUUGGGGACACAGCCCCAAACCCGAGCCAGCGAGGGAGGGACGGCGCGAGUGAGCGGGGCUGGUCCUCAGGGUGGACGGUCCUGGGGCGCUGGCCCCUCGAGGGCAGGGCGGGCGUGGACAGCCUCCCUGAAGCCGCCCGGCCCCAGCCGCCCGCCCGCUGGGACCCUGGGAAGGGCCUUCGCCCCCAGCCCCGUGCCCCCAGCUCCGGUUACACCCCAGCCGGCCCAGUGCCCGAGGGUCCACCAGCCCCUGGCGUGGAGCUGAUGAGACCCGGGGGGGGGGACCCCCGGAAUCAGAGCUUCACUCACAGGAAGAGAACAGCUCAUCUCAGGGUCGCGGUUCAUUGCGAAGCCGUUGAGGUCGGUGACCUGGCAGGAAAACGUGUCACACUUACGCCCAGUUAAAGACGUUGAGUUAUCAAUGUCGGCAACUUUAAUUUUAAUACCACCUGCCAAAAUAAACCUUAUUUCCUAGAAAUUUUAUUCCCUCUGAGUUAUUACUGUGUGUGCAUCUAUAGGGCCACACGCGCGCACACCUCACACACACACCUCAUUAUUACGUAGAGUUAAUUCCACUGUUUGGGCUGCAAUAAAAGCAAUUUUGAAAUUUAAAAUUGUUCUCCAGAUCCCAGGGUCACAAUGGGGAGGGUACAUGUCCCCUUCCAGGAGCUCAGGUCCCCGUCAGUGGGUACAGGGGAAGAAAGAGCCAGGUUUCAGAGCCACGGCAUCACCUCCUCUGAAAACCUCAGUGUCUUUCUCUGUGAAAUGAGAGUGGCACUUGGACUCCAAGCAUUCACAGACACUGUUCCCUCAGCCUGGCCAUCCCCUCCACGAGUUCUGCCUGGUGAGCUCCUACAUAACCAUUAAACCCCAGCUGUGACAUCCCUUCUCCAGGCAGCUGCUCCAUACAGACACCUGGAUUCCUCCCACCUCUGCCUUCCCUCCAGCCAAGCCCUGGCGCUGCGGGGCUGGGGGCAUGCGUGGCCAGCUCGUCUCCUGCAGACUGGGGCUCCUUGAGGGGCUAGGGGUGGGGAGAGUUGAAGGAAAAUGGAGAUGCCACUGUCCCCACUUGAUGGGCGAGGGGCACUUUGAGAGGGGCCCUGCUCCCCAGAGACAGGUAGCCAUUUGGCCCCAGAGCCGCAGCUCAACUCUGGGGCAGCUGGACUCUGAGCACAGUGCUCCUUCCUAAAAGUCAUGUGUUGACCAAAUGACCCCCACCCCCAGUGGGCUGCUCGCCCUGACCCUCCAGGGUCCCUGCAGCCCCUGCCUGGGCCAGAACAGCCUGUCCCUUGGCAGGGGGGCUGUCCUCACAGCGGCCCGAGGUCACAGAUAAGGCCGCUGGCCCGGCUAUCGGCAGGAAACAUCUUGGCAGGACAGGAAGCCGCGGCGCUGGCCAGCCGCGCCCUCGCCAGCCUCGGCCUAUGGGCGGCCAGAUAUUUUGGGAGGCCCUAUAUAAACCCGGCUCAGCCCCGAGCCACUCCCGGGGGGAGCCCGCGGCCCUGGGAGGCAGCACCCGGGCUCUGGGCAGAGCCGCCGAGGGCCGCCGCGUGCUGGGGCACCGGUCUGGAUCGGGCCUACCCCACUCAAUCCUGGCGCAGCACUGGCUUGCUGAGCCCCCCUGGGAACUGGCUGCACCUCUGUGCCUCAGUUUCCCCCUCUCCACAGCCCUUCCCUGGUCGUGUCCUGAGAAACACAGACUUGACACCAAACGCACCCACGGGCCCCAGAGAUUUCCCUGAAGUUUCUGGGCCUGACGUGGCUCCCGCAGAUGCCCGGGCAGGCCCAGGAAUCUGCAUUUCGUCCAGCCUCAUGAUGAAAUCCCUACACAAGCUCAGGUUUCUCAAGUUCAAGGACAUACAACUGCUCCAGCCCCUCCACCCUCAGGCCUCCUCACCUCGCCCAGCCCGAAACAGCCCGCUGGACAAGCACUCAGCCAGACCCUGCGCCAGUGUCGGAUCAGAGAGACAGCGUUGCAAGGAUGUGACUGUGGUUAUUCCAUUUUACAGAGGAGAGAAUUGAGGCCCAGAGAGGGGAAGGGACUUGCCUGAGGCCACACAGCAGGACAGAGGCAGGCCCGCAUCAAAACCGAGGCCCCGGGUCUCCUCCCGCACCCCGUGCACAUCACAGGAGGCUCAGGGGGUGGAGUGUGGCUCCAGGGGUCACACGCCCAGCAGUGGCUUGGGACUCAGACCUGGGUCUGCCCACUCACCCGCCCCCACCCCAGCUGGCACAGCACACACUAACUUCUCUCGGGGCUGACUAACAUGCAUCCUUCAGCCGAGACCAGUAAAAGUGAAACGCAGAAGUGAAAUAAAACUACGCCAAGAUUACAGGGCUCCGAGCCGGCUCCCGCGCUCAGAAGCCCUGGCCCUUUCCUGGUGAGAGGCCAGGGGGCAGGCCGGCCGCCAGGCGGGGGAGGCCAAGCGUGGCUAUGUAAAUGGCCGGCCCAGCACCUGCAGCCGCUUGCCAGUGCGGCUGGUGGAGCAUGCCCCACCGUCCCCACCCCAGGCAGCUGCAGCCGGCGAGAGGGAACGGCCAUGCCAGAUAUAACCCAACCUGAACUCCACCCAAAGCCCAAGCUCCAAGCCAGGCCUGUGCCUGGAAAGCCAGUUUGGGACAAAUGACCGUGGGAGGUCACUGUCCAGCUCUGGGCUUCCAUCUCCCCCCGAGAAAGGUCUCAGCUUGGCCACAUGUCCCCUGCAGCUCUCCUCAGUCCCUCUCUGCAAGGCCUGGGGCGGGUAAGAGGCAGGACCAUGCUGUCCUGCCCAGCCUGCUGCCGAGGAUGCAUUGGGCGGGCCUCUCUGUCCUGACGGGAUGCUCAGUACCAUUCAAAGCAGCCUGCUCGUAGCCUAGAAACUGGCUGGUGAGACGGUGCCUCCCUCAGACCCUGCCCUGCCAUCCAGCCACCGGAGCAGGUGACAGGGACCCGGGGCUGUCCGUCUCCAGGUCAAACGCCUAAAGCCUCCAGUGCUUUCUCCCAGGGCACCACUCAGAAGUGUGCACAUGCACACGCACACACACACACAGAGACACACACACCACGGUGAUCCUCCCUGAACCCUCUGCCGUCUGCCUGCCCCGUUGCAAAGUGGCAGGGGGAGCUGCCUGCCUGCUCUGACCAGCCCAGAAUGAGGAGGGAAAUCAUCUCCUUCAUCCUGGAGUCUACACCUCUAUUAAUGCAAGCCAUGGACCCUGCAGCUUGUUGAGCAGCUACAUGACAGGCAGGGGGCCUAUCCUGUAAUCAUCAAUCAUCAAUUCAAAACGCUGAGCCUGCAAGCGAGCUCCACUGGGAGAGAGGGGCUGCGAUGUCCUCCCUCUUAUCUGGGUGCUGGAGAGGUGGGUGUGUUAACUUUGUGAAAAUGUAUCGAGAGCUGCACACUCGGGAUUCAGGCUCUUCAACGUCUCCGUGUUAUUCUUGAAUAAAACGCUUACAAAGAAGAAAAGGAAAGAAAGCUGUUAACAUGAGGCUGAGGCAGACCGGGGUUUGAGCGGAGGCUGAGGACGCACGGUGGACACAUGCAAAGGCCACCAACGCGGCGAACAGGAGGUUUAAGACGAGAACCCCUGGCUGGGCCGGUGUUGCAGAAGCCUCGCGAGCCGCCCAGCAGGCCCGACCCGCCGGCUUCAGGGCCCGCUGCGCACGGCCUGGAAAGAUUUUUAUGUAAAAGGGGCCGAUGCAAAUCCGGGGCCCGGGGCCACGAGAGGCCCCACUUCCCCCUUUCCCCGGCUGGACGCGGCCACCUGGGCGGGGCGGGGGCGGGGGCGGGGGACCCGGCGCCCCCACCGGCGCCCGCUGGCGCCCACCCUGCGCUGCGCUGCGCCCCUCUGGGCGUCCGGGCCCCCAAACCGCCCUGGCCGCUGAGCCCGGGAGAGGGGCGCGGCCGCGUGUGUGAACCCCAGGCUCUCAGCUUCAGGGGCGACCACAGAGGCUGGCUUUGAUGUUUUUUUAAUUGAGAUAAAAUUCACAUAACAUAAAACCAUUUUAACCAUUUUCGAGUGUGCAAUUCAGUGGUUUGCAGCACGUUCAUAAUGUUGUGCAACCAUCACGUCUGUCUAGUUCCAGAACAUUCCAUCACCCUGAAGGCGACCCGGUCCCCAUGAGCAGUGGAUUCCCCUCCCCCUCCCCCAGCCCCUGGCCACCCCUCACCCACUCUCUGUCUCCGUGGACUUGCCUGUUCCAGAUGUUUCAUAAAUGGGAUCGCACACCGUGUGGCCCCCUGUGUGUGGCUUUCUCCUCUUGGCGCCAGGUUUCCGAGGUCCGUCCCCGCUGUAGCGCCUGUCAGGGCUUCGCCUGUCUCUAUGGCUGAGCGCUGGUCCCCCGUGCGGACGGGCGUUCUGUUCCUCCAUCAUCUGUUGCUGGCCGUCUGGGUUGUUUCCACUUGGGGCGAUUGUGAACGCGCUGCCGUGAACACGGUGUACGAGUCUUUGCACACGUUUUCACUUCUCUGUGUCUCUAGCCAGGGGUGGAACUGCUGGGUCGUAUGGUGACCCUGUGU
ensembl:lncRNA